GCAAAUAGGCGGCAAUAUAUAUCAAAUAAAUAAAUAAAUAAAUAAAUUGUUAAACAAAUGCACAGGUCAUUAACUGCACAUGAGGUAUCUCAAAGUGGGAAGACCAUGGGGAGGGCCUAGUGCUUCCAACCACCCAAGGCCUCUCCUGACCCGCUGAGAUUUCUCGUGUUUCUCCCCCCACUCCCCAUUCUGCCCCGUGGGCCUGACAGGUACCAGGCCUGUGGAGAAUCACUUACCUUUUGAAGAUCUUGAUGAUCAAACCUCUCCAGCCUCUCCACUGUGGUUUCUUUCUCUGCUCCCGGCGCUCCAAAAAUGGAAUGAUGAGAGAGCUGAGGCAGAGUGGGACCAGUCCACCCUGCUCAGCUUGGCUGACUCACCGAGGCUGCCUGCGCAGAACACCAUAUCCGCUUUUGGAGCGCCAGGCAGCCUCAGUGAGUUUGAAGGAGCCUUGAGGAAAAGGGAGGGAGGCCUGUGGGAGCACAAUCUCAUGGCCCAGAAGGCUUCCAUCCUUUUGCAAAAAGCUUUUGGUGAGAAGAACAGAGGCUGCCUGUGCAGGCUUCCAUUCUUCAUGUGAAAAGCUUUUUGGAAAAAGGACAGAAGCUUUUUGGGGGAUGAUUUCACAUCCCUACAUGCUUCUAUCCCCUUUGCUCAAAACUUUUGGCAUAGAGAACAGAUGCCUGCAUCCUCUCACAGGCCUCUGUUCUCUGCAUCAAAGGUCCUUUGCAAAGAGGACAGCAGGUAUGUAAGAAGAUGGCUGCUUUUCUGCCACAUGGCCCUGACUCUAUAGAUCUUUGAAAGAUAAGUGAACAAGAGGCGACAGGAUGGAGUGGAGGGGGGCAGCAUCUCUGUGGUCGGUCAUAAGGGUGAAUGACUGUCAUGCUGCUGCAACAUUCAUAACUUUGGUACUAAAUUGUAACUACUUUGGGGAAGGGGUAUCAUAACUUUAAACCAUUGUUAAGUGAACUGUCAUAACCUGAGGAUUACCUGUAGUUUCCUAGCUCCUUUGGAACUUCUAUAAUUUUUUGAUCUGAAAGUUUAUUCCAGUAUUAUAUUUUUAUGAAAAUAUUAGGAAUUUUAUAUUUGAGUUAUUUAAACGUGCUUGGAUAAAUGCCAUGCAGUAAUAAGGGGAGGGUGUGAAACCAUGUGUUUUACAGUGUAUUGUACGUAACUGUGUUGAGAGAAUAGUAGAGGAUGACAAUGGAGCAAUUAUUCCAUUUUAAAUAGAGCUGUAAAAAUUGAAAUUGCAUCAUGCCACUUUCUAAACAAGAAAAGAAAAACAAGCUUCUUCAGUACUUUUGAAUAUUCUCCUCUUGCUCCUAUUGAAGGGACUCGUGGCUGAGCACUCUCAGUUCCAGAGAAGUUAGAACUCAACAACUUAAUCAGAAGGAAAAUAAAAAGGAAUCCUCAAGUCACUUAUUCUGUCUUCAUGAGGCUUAUUGAAAAUGUAGCAGUAUCAAACUGGCUGGUGGAAAAAAAAACCUCAUACCAAUGCACCUUUUCAAAUAUUACCAUUUACCAGUUAAGCUGCUAGCACAAUGAUAAUCACAAUUUCUGUAGUGACUCAAAAGUCCAGCAAUAUUAUUUUCUGAGACACCUACAUUCUCACCCCACCUUGGUUCACCCAAUCAAAGCUUGGGCAAUGAUAAAACAGGAGAGAGGAGGGUCUCGCACUAAACAAACAGGAACAGAGAAGCCUUAGUGAAAAAGUUUAUAUUAUUGAGUAUAUUUCUUUCAUGACAUUCGGUUGAAGAAGUUAGCAGUGGAACUAGGGCAAUAGAUCUUGUGAU